GGGAGCCCAGGCGGGACGCGCUCUCUGGGCGCAGGCUCGCUGAUAAACCUUCGGUCGGGUUCAUCACUCAUGUCACUGCCUUAGUGCCGUGCGUACUCUUAUUAGCGUCACUUAGAGGUGAGGAAGCAGGCUCAAAAAAUAUCAAGUUACGUGCUUGAAGUCAAACGGAAGGCAGAGCUGCGAAGCAAAUCCAGGUUUGUCUUGACACAGCUGUAUGUCCUACUUCUCUUGGAUCAGCCUCUUCCCGGCUUUCAUUCCAGUGAGCAGCAAACAGCGCUCCCGGGGACAUCUGGGCACUCACCCUUCUAACACUGGAGAGGGGACGCAGUCAUUUUUGAACCUUCAGAACAGCUCAGAGGCCAGAACGUGACUUCCUCGGAGACCUGAUGACGGUGAUGUGGGCGGGGACCUCCGGGAAGGAGGAGGAAGUCAAGUCACCGGGUUCACAGCUGGCCUGUCUGCCAUGCCCUAGAGAGGGACCCAGCACCUCAGGCGUGGAGCCAGCCCUACCGGCCUGGGCCUCUUUGCUGGCUUGGUCCCCUUUUGGAAGAGUGGCAGCCCAGUAAAAGA